rnacentral:rRNA from 1 species
UUCUUUGGUUGAAAUUCACGGAGGUGACGGAUUGGCUCGCGUCUGAUUAGCUAGUCGGCGGGGUAACGGCCCACCGAGGCUACGAUCAGUAGGGGUUCUGAGAGGAAGGUCCCCCACAAUGGAACUGAGACACGGUCCAUACUCCUACGGGAGGCAGCAGUGAGGAAUAUUGGUCAAUGGGCGGAAGCCUGAACCAGCCAUGCCGCGUGCAGGACGACGGCCCUAUGGGUUGUAAACUGCUUUUGCUGCGGAGCAAUAAGGGCCUCGAGCAGGUCCGAUGAGAGUACGCAGCGAAUAAGCAUCGGCUAACUCCGUGCCAGCAGCCGCGGUAAUACGGAGGAUGCGAGCGUUAUCCGGAUUUAUUGGGUUUAAAGGGUGCGUAGGCUGUGCGUUAAGUCAGGGGUGAAAUGCCGUCGCUCAACGACGGAGCUGCCCUUGAUACUGGCGUGCUGGAGUACGGAUGCCGUUGGAGGAAUGAGUGGUGUAGCGGUGAAAUGCUUAGAUAUCACUCAGAACACCGAUUGCGAAGGCAUCUGACGAAUCCGUCACUGACGCUGAGGCACGAAAGCGUGGGGAUAGA